UACGUAGGGUGCAAGCGUUAAUCGGAAUUACUGGGCGUAAAGCGUGCGCAGGCGGUUUUGUAAGUCUGUCGUGAAAUCCCCGGGCGUCAACCUGGGAAGUUGUCGAUGGAGACUGCAAGGCGUAGAAUCUGGCGAGAGGGGGGUAGGAAUUCCACGUGUAGCAGUGAAAUAGCGUAGAGAUGUGGAGGAACACCGAUGGCGAAGGC
rnacentral:rRNA from 1 species